rnacentral:lncRNA from 1 species
CUGUGCUGGUAUUUCUCAUUUCCUUGGCGUUUCACUACAAAAUCCUUAUAUAAAUGAAGUGAAAUGGUUUUUUUUUUAUUUUAUUUUUUUUUUGUGAUGGAUUCGGCGCGCCAUAGUUCUUUGUCUUCUGUCGUUGUUUUCAGACACCUAGUAGAGGAAUUUUGUACUGCUUUAUUAAAUCAUGCUGUGAUCUUUUGUCGUCUGCGUUCCUCGUGGCUAGCUUUCACCUCACGUUUCACUGUUUUGUCGGCGGUGUAUUGCUCUGUUAAUGGUCGAAAUAUAGAAAAGUGAGAUUGCUUUGAUUUUCUUAUGACUGUUAGUGAAAUAUUUUUUAUUUAGAAUAUUUAAAAUAGAGAAGAAACAAAAAAGCUGUCAUAGUACAGAGUGCAUCAACAAUUUUUGAGUUUGUAUGUCAUUUACUCAUUUCUCAAACUGAAAGACAUCAACAGGCAAUGAGACAGCAGUGAAGCUGCUACAUAAAUAAAGCUGGUACCCUUUCAACAACGGACCCAAUGACUAACUGAGCUUUGAGACCAAGUCUUUUAUGAAAUAAAAAACUACUUCAGCGCAAUUACCAGUUGUCAAGCUGAGUUAAAAUCAGAAAGGACAACUUGAAAUAUUCCAUAUCAUCAAGGCGUUGAUACCAGUAGUUGAGAUGGAGAAUCACUGCUUUUGCAAUUACAGUAGAGAAAUAAUAGAAAUAAAAGGUGGACGAUGCUAAAUUUCGUCGAUUGACCGCCCAUAUUCAAAUCGUGCAUCAAUCUGACAUUCUGAUGCCCUUGAGUGAAGCGGCGACAGGGAUCAGCAUCAGCGGCCCUAUCUUAAAAGUUAUCUCCAAAUCAACAGCAGCUGCCGAGUGGUCCUUGGAUCGCGAAAUUACUUGCCAGUUUAGUGUCGCCUAUACGCCAAUUAUUUCUUUGGUCGACUGCGUUGCAUCGGAGUCUCAACAUCACCGCGAUUAGUUGCCAGAAGGAACACAGAUAUCCUACAGGGAGAUUGAGUCUUUAGUAGAUUGGUCUUAGUUCGCCCCCAGUUAAUCUAGCUGAACAAAUUGAGUCGCAGCAGGAAACUUCUUGUGAUUUUUCCAUGGAAAUAGAUAUGGAAUUCGAUUACAUGUUGCAGAGUUUAGAUCGUGGACCGAAUCAUUCAUUUGGCUGAAGAAGAUGUCGGUUCUCUCGGAUGACUCGGCGUAAUAUCUCACACACCUUGUCCAGGAGCAACUCACUCCCACCAUUUGGGGGUCCAAAAUUCCGCUGAAUUCAUGUAGAAGGAUCGGUAAUCCAAGGCCGGAAAGAUACGUAAUCGAAAGGACCAAAAUGUCAUUCUGUCUUCUCUAAAUUCAGAUACGAACGUUGUUCACCCUUUCAUUCGUGGCGCCAUUUGUGAAUACCAAUUAUGUAUAGGAAGAGAUGGAUACUUUGCACGAAAAUUCAUGGCGGAAAAUCCGACCAGUAGUAUGCCGGAUGAGUCAAAUAAGAGAUCUUCACUUGACUUACGGUUCAGGGUUCAUCAUUUGGGCUCGUCAAGUUGCGAGGCAGCAACGUGCCUACAACAUACCUAAAUGAAGGGAAUUGAACAUGUCGAAAUUAGGGCUAGGAGAACCCUGUCAAAAUUGUCGAAGAUAAAAAACAGGAGGUUAGCUGAUGCUGGACGUUACCCAAACAAGGAUGGUCUAGCAGUCACGUCCUGUCCUCUUUUCCAUGACUCUCUAAGAAGAACAUCCCAGUGAAUCGACAUGGUUCAGUUACAUGUCAACCGGAUCUUUCACAGGACUUUUUGAGCCGCAACGUUGGUGGACGAUAACCCUGGGACAGGUCAAGCUGAAUUAGCCACAUAGGGCAAACCUCCAAGAGAAAACAUCAAACAAAGAGAAAACAAAUCAUAUUGUUGGAAAAUGUCUAGUGACCGUAUUCUAGGUAAUUGUAUUUGUGUAAAUUUUCAAGCUAAUAAAAAACUGUCUUUAUA